rnacentral:rRNA from 1 species
UACGUAGGGGGCAAGCGUUGUCCGGAUUUAUUGGGCGUAAAGAGCGUGUAGGCGGCUAGAUAGGUCCGUUGUGAAAACUCGAGGCUCAACCUCGAGACGUCGAUGGAAACCAGCUGGCUAGAGUCCGGAAGAGGAGAGUGGAAUUCCUGGUGUAGCGGUGAAAUGCGCAGAUAUCAGGAAGAACACCCGUGGCGAAGGCGGCUCGCUGGGACGUUACUGACGCUGAGACGCGAAAGCGUGGGGAGCAAACAGG